AGUGAACGCUGGCGGUAGGCCUAACACAUGCAAGUCGAACGGCAGCACAGUAAGAGCUUGCUCUUACGGGUGGCGAGUGGCGGACGGGUGAGGAAUGCAUCGGAAUCUACUUUUUCGUGGGGGAUAACGUAGGGAAACUUACGCUAAUACCGCAUACGACCUACGGGUGAAAGCAGGGGAUCUUCGGACCUUGCGCGAUUGAAUGAGCCGAUGUCGGAUUAGCUAGUUGGCGGGGUAAAGGCCCACCAAGGCGACGAUCCGUAGCUGGUCUGAGAGGAUGAUCAGCCACACUGGAACUGAGACACGGUCCAGACUCCUACGGGAGGCAGCGGUGGGGAAUAUUGGACAAUGGGCGCAAGCCUGAUCCAGCCAUACCGCGUGGGUGAAGAAGGCCUUCGGGUUGUAAAGCCCUUUUGUUGGGAAAGAAAAGCAGCAGGUUAAUACCCCGCUGUUCUGACGGUACCCAAAGAAUAAGCACCGGCUAACUUCGUG
rnacentral:rRNA from 1 species